rnacentral:rRNA from 1 species
GACGAACGCUGGCGGCGUGCUUAACACAUGCAAGUCGAACGGAAGGACCCUGCUUUUGUGGGGUGCUCGAGUGGCGAACGGGGGAGUAACACGUGAGUAACCUGCCCUUGACUUUGGGAUAACUUUAGGAAACUGGGGCGAAUACCGGAUAGGAGCUCCUGCUGCAUGGUGGUGGAUGGAAAGUUUCGGCUGUUGGGGAUAUACUCGCGGGUUAUCAGCUUGUUGGUGGGGUAGGGACUUACCAAGGCUUAGACGGGUAGCCGGCCUGGGAGGGUGACCGGCGACAUGAGGACUGCGAUACGGCGCAGACGCGUAUGGUAGGCAGUAGUGGGGAGUAUUGCGCAAUGGGCGGGAGCGUGAUGUAGCGACGCCGCGUGCGGAAUAACGGCCUUCGGGUGGUGAACAGCUUUCGACUGUGACGAGGAGUGCGUGACGGUAAUGGGUCAAGAAGCACCGGCUAACUACGUG